GUCCACGCCAUAAACGAUGGAUACUUGUUGUUGGAGGUAUUGACCCCUUCAGUGACGAAGCUAACGCGUUAAGUAUCCCGCCUGGGGAGUACGGUCGCAAGAUUAAAACUCAAAGAAAUUGACGGGGGCCCGCACAAGCGGUGGAGCAUGUGGUUUAAUUCGAUGCAACGCGAAGAACCUUACCUAGGCUUGACAUGUACCGGAAGAGUGGCGGAAACGUCCUCGCUCGCAAGGGUCGGUACACAGGUGCUGCAUGGCUGUCGU
rnacentral:rRNA from 1 species